GUUCCUGAAGCAAGAGAGCUCAAUAUGCAUCAGUAGCUCCCUAUUCUCACCACCAUGUGAAAGCCAAAAAAACGGCCACCAGUGUACAGAAACAACGCCCUACCCCUGACCAGAAUCAUCCUGAGGUAAAUUCUGUCAACCACAGCGGGUUGCUUUUCUGUCUGUUUUUACAUACGUCUUCUCCUGGCCAACUUUCCCAUUACUAACAGAGACCUAGGCCUCCCAAACACAUAGACAGAAGCUAGUCUUUUAGAUACAUUAACUUUUUGAGGAACAAACUGUCCACAAUGAGCAAGGUAGACAAAGGAGAGAAUUGGCAGGUAUAAUUUGAUUUCUGGAGAGCUUUUGAUUCUCUCCAGCUGCAUUUUCCUCAGCAAGCUAGGAAGUCGCGGACUUAACUAUACUCAUAUUAGUUAUGAGAAUAGCUCACUUCUUGGCUUGCAGAUCUGGGGACAAUCUCAAGGGACAGAUUAUGCAGAACUCCAAAGGAAACUGUGUUGGACGCCAUUCUAUUUUAAGAUUUUAAUGGAGUCAGAAAUAAGACUGAAAAAUAUAUGGAAUUUAAAAAAAAAUAGACAUGGAUAGGUUGUAAAAAUAAGUGAAAGUCAAUGGGGAUAAGCACAAAACACAAUUCUUAGGAGCCGAAACCAACCAUUCAUAUAUUAAUAAGCUGACAGUAUCACAAAGAAGUUACUUUUUGGAGGAUUGUCAGUCGAUUACUGGAUGGAUCAGUCAUUUAUUCAGCAAUCAAUAUGUUGCUAGGCAUAGGAGUCACAAAGAAAUUAAGAUCCUGUUUUUUUCCUUUAAAAAGUUUCUAAUACACCAGCCUCAGCACAUAAUGAGACCCUUUUCUCUACAAAGAACUUUGAAAAAUCAGCCAGGUGUGGUGGCACGCAACUGUGGUCCCAGCUACUCAGGAGGCUGAGGUGGGAGGAUCACUUGAGCCCAGGAGGUCAAGCAAGGCUGCGGUGAGCCUAGUAGCAGAGUGAACCCUUGUCUCUCCAUAAAAACAAAACAAAAAACAGCCAGCAUGACCACCUGCUACAAAGAAUAUUGCAUUUCAGAGGAGGAAGGACCAGAAUGGGGUGAAGAAGUUUUACUCUUUCACACCUUUUGUCCCACCACAAACAAAGCACCACACACACACACUUUCAGGGGGAAUAUUUAUGUAUUUACAGACAUGAUCAUCGGUCAGGUCAUUUAUAAAGUAUUGAGUUUUUAAGGAUCUAAAAACCAUCUCUCUGGUUUAAAACUUUAACAACCAUAAUGUAAUUCAAAAGUAGAAAUUCUAAUAAGAGUUUUGAGUAAUGGCCGGGCGCAAUGGCUCACGCCUGUAAUCCCGGCACUUUGGGAGGCCGAGGCUGGCGGAUCAUGAGGUCAAGAGUUCGAGAUCAACCGAAAUCCGGUCUCUACUAAAAACACGAAAAUUAAGCGGGUGUGGUGGCACGUGCCUGUAAUGCCAGCUACCCAGGAGACGGAGAGCAAGAGAAUCGCUUGAACCUGGGAGGCAGAGGUUGCAGAGAGCCGAGAUCGGGCCACUGCACUCCAGCCUGGGCGACAGAGCGAGACCCCAUCUCGAAAACAAAACAAAACAGUUGUGAGUAUAAUAUUUAUUUCUAUAUUCAUGACCAAACACAGCCGAAAGGUCACUUGCGGGAGCAGCGCCCCGGGAAGACUUCUGAGCCUCGGUCAUAGCAGCCCUAUUUCCGGGCCCGCCCCCUUCCCCAUGCACAGGUGACCCCAAAGGCCCCCAGCGCUCAGGGGCUGUGACUAAGCGCCACUGUGAGAAGGUGCAGCGCGUACACCGGGUUUAUUAAUAGGAACGUGACCGCACGCGGGGGGGCCGACCCCCUUUUUCUCGGCGCUGAGGCCGGAACCCGAGUGCUGCGGUUAGAGGGUCACAAAGGUCAGCUGAAACCCGAGACCACCGCCGAGAAGCCAGGAAGCCGACGGAGAGUGACUUAACCCAACGAUGGGAAAGAGACCGCGGCUACCUCUCCCGCACCCCAGCAAGACCCGGGGGCUCCCAAAGGCCAGGCCGGGAACCCGGCUGAGAAAACGUCGGGGUGGCAGGCUGACACAGCUGUCAAUUACCGCCGAGCCUUCUGGGAAACAUAGUCCUGAGCAAGACCUCAAAGGACUCGCAGCCGUGGAUGCACAGUUUGAAGGGUUGACAAGUACUAAACCCAAUUCUCGAGCUACCGCCCCGGGAACCGCCUGUUUGUUGCGGAGGGAUCUAAAUGUUGUUCCCCCAGUGUGGGAUCUGCAGAUGCGGAUCUUCUGGCCUCCCACGCCCACCUCUGAGCAGCCUUGUGCCCACAGCGAGGUCUCCCGCCCUCUGGCACAUCGCCCCUCCCCAGCACGGAGCAGCUCAGCCCUUUGGCCUUUGCGGCCUCUCUUCUGCCCAUCCUUCCACCCCAUCUCGGCGGCCGGAGCCUGCUGGGUGUUUGCGCGGCGAGGUCCCAGGCCGACUCUAACUGGACAUAAGAAGGGUCCAGCAGAAGCCCAGAGUAGAAAACAGACGUUCCGCCUCCUUCCCUUGGCAUCAGACUCCCAGGACGUCCCCUUCUGUCUGGCUGGUAGCCAGAGGAGGCGGGCGAGGCGCCAAGUAUUCUGGGAAAUGUGCUAUUGGGCUGUAAACUGGGAGCUCCUGGGUCUCCUGUGAGAGCCAGAGGUCACUUUGGGCUGGCCCCUAGCUAAAAAAUAGUAACGCCUUUCCUUAAAGUGAAGAAAAUGUGCCUGUCGGCCGGGCGCGGUGGCUCAAGCCUGUAAUCCCAACACUUUAGGAGGCCAAGGCGGGUGGAUCACGAGGUCAAGAGAUCGAGACCAUCCUGGUCAACAUGGUGAAACCCCGUCUCUACUAAAAAUACAAAAAAUUAGCUGGGCAUGGUGGCGCGUGCCUGUAAUCCCAGCUACUCAGGAGGCUGAGGCAGGAGAAUUGCCUGAACCCAGGAGGCGGAGGUUGCAGUGAGCCGAGAUCACGCCAUUGCACUCCAGCCUGAGUAACAAGAGCGAAACUCCGUCUCAAAAAAAAAGAAAAUGUGCCUGUCUACUCUGUGGAUUCAGUGCAAUUGAGAAAAAGAACAGAACAUUUUGUGAUGGACUAUAAAACGCUUAGAAUUACCAGCCAUAGAGCUAAUGUGGAAGAUACAUUUGAUGUCAAUUCCACCAUUCCUUCAACACACAUAGGGUGCAUUUUCCAAUGGAUAUUUACUGGUAACGGUCUAUACUUAAGAUCGUUCUGGGAACUGUGGUCACUCAGGAAUCAUAUAUAACCACUGCCUUCAUGAAGCUCACAGCCCAACAGGGGAGAUAAACCACAAAAGGUAUCAAAAUUCUAAGUCAUAUUUUGUCUUUUCUUUUUUUCUGAAGACCUAGGAACACAAAAACCAAAUUUUUUUUUUUAAGACAGGGUUUCACGAAAAUUGGUCAGGCUGGUCUCGAACUCCUGACCUCAGGUGAUCCGCCCACCUCAGCCUCCCAAAGUGUUGGGAUUACAGGUGUGAGCCACCGCACGCGGCCAAAUGUUUGGUUUUUUAAACCAAUACAUUUUGGGGUAAUUUGUUCCAGAAUAGUUCUGUUCCAGUAUAGCUAGUAGAAUCUUAGUUAUUUUUAGAUAACUGUAGUCAUCUGCAAGAUAACCACACAGCAUUUCGAGAAACUCUGUCCACUAUGAACAAAUGUCUGGUUAGCAGAGGUAGUUAGAUGUAGUUAAAUUUAGAUGAAAAUGAGGAAAGUGGAAAUCUCAGAGGAGCUCAGGAAUAAGGAACACUCAGGAAACCUCGGGAUUGCCAGGACUCCUGUGACUGGAAGAGUUCAGGACCUGGAGAACUGAAGGCAUCUUCAGGCCCCUCGGCUCUUAGUGCAUCCAAGAUCCUGAGCUGCCAGGGGCCUGGCCACUCCUGCCCCCAGCCCUACCUUGGCUGAGCUGGUCACUGUUGCAUGUCCCGGGCUGCUGGCCUGCCUGUCAUCUGCAGUGCAC